rnacentral:rRNA from 1 species
GCCGGUGGCCACAGCGGAGGUGUCAUACCCGUUCCCAUACCGAACACGGAAGUCAAGCCCUCUCGCGCCGAUGAUACUGCUCUCGCGGGAAAGUAGGUAGCCGCCGGCU